UACGGGGGGGGCAAGCGUUGUUCGGAAUUACUGGGCGUAAAGGGCUCGUAGGUGGCCAACUAAGUCAGACGUGAAAUCCCCAGGCUCAACUUGGGAACUGCGUCUGAUACUGGAUGGCUUGAAUCCGGGAGAGGGAUGCGGAAUUCCAGGUGUAGCGGUGAAAUGCGUAGAUAUCUGGAGGAACACCGGUGGCGAAGGCGGCAUCCUGGACCGGUAUUGACGCUGAGGCGCGAAAGCCAGGGGAGCAAACGGG
rnacentral:rRNA from 1 species